rnacentral:rRNA from 1 species
AACACCGGGGGCCCGAGUGGUAACCGCUUUUUUUGGGUCUAAAGGGUCUGUAGCCGGCCGAUUAAGUUUUUUGGGAAAUCCGCCAUCUCAAGUGUCGGGCUGCCGGGGGAUACUGUUCGGCUUGGGGCCGGGAGAGGUGAGAGGUACUUCCGGGGUAGGGGUGAAAUCUUGUAAUCCUCGAGGGACCACCAGUGGCGAAGGCGUCUCACCAGAACGGAUCCGACGGCAAGGGACGAAAGCCAGGGGCACGAACCGGAUUAGAUACCCGGGUAGUCCUAGCCGUAAACGAUACUCGCUAGGUGUCGGCCACGGUGCGACCGUCCUCGGUGCCGUAGGGAAGCCGUUAAGCGAGCCACCCGGGAAGUACGGCCGCAAG